rfam:Salmonella enterica subsp. enterica serovar Typhimurium str. LT2, complete genome.
AGAACGUGAUGGGAAGCGGCGCGCUUCCCGUGUAUGAUUGAACCCGCAUGGCUCCCGGUUCGUUCGGGGAAGCGCUGAGGGUUCAUUUUUAU